rnacentral:lncRNA from 1 species
UUUGGUUUCAAUAAGAGGACACCUCCUGCCACUCUCAACAACAGGAUCAUCACUGAUGGAACCCAACUCGUUGAAACAAAUGCUUUAGUUCUAGGAAUCUUCCUCAUCAUCACACUCAGAAAGAAUCAAUGGCCAGUUGGAAUCGCCUCCAAGUAGGAUCUGGUCAUCAUUUCAAUUCAGUAGUGCGUAGAUUUUAUGGUACCAGUGGUAAUGCGUUGGGAAGUCCAUUAGUGGGUACCGAAAGUUUCCUGAGUCCUUAUCUUCUUCUCCUCCUCCUCCUUCUUCUUCUUCUUUUUUUAACUGAUUAUCAUCUGUCGCCAUAUAGAUGGAAAGAUAUCAUUAAUUUUACAUUAGUUAUCAUUCAAAAAUAAUUUUGAUGUAGGUGGGAUGAAACUUUCUCUUUUAUAUAAGAUGUCUUUUAAAAGACAAAAUCGUGAGGUCCCAUACAAUAGUAUCAAAGAUCGAAGUGGAUAAUACUUUAUGUACACGAAAAUGAAGACCAAUCUGUUCGAGUCCUGAAUCUUUGAUCGCAAUUUUUACUAACCAAAAUUUAGUGUAAAAAAUGGAUGUAGUUCGUAUGGAAUCAGUUUUCGAGAUAGGACCA